rnacentral:siRNA from 1 species
AGCGUUUAGGUACAACUGGUACGC